rnacentral:rRNA from 1 species
AGCAGUCGCCGCGGGAAUACGUAGGUGGCAAGCGUUGUCCGGAAUUAUUGGGCGUAAAGGGCUCGCAGGCGGUUUCUUAAGUCUGAUGCGAAAGCCCCCGGCUCAACCGGGGAGGGUCAUUGGAAACUGGGAAACUUGAGUGCAGAAGGGGAGAGUGGAAUUCCACGUGUAGCGGUGAAAUGCGUAGAGAUGUGGAGGAACACCAGUGGCGAAGGCGACUCUCUGGUCUGUAACUGACGCUGAGGAGCGAAAGCGUGGGGAGCGAACAGGAUUAGAUACCCCAGUAGUCCCUGUCUCUUAUAC